GUGUUGACAAUAUAGAAAAUUAUAUUGGGAAGUUGUCAUUUCUACAGUAAAAACAGCUUUUUUUUCAAGUAGUACGAAUUGUGACUUCGAUUUAUCUGUGGAACUAUUUGAACAGAAGGUAAAGCAGUAAUUUUGUUGUAUUUAGAAAGCAAACAGAGUCAUAUUUUUAAAAAUAUAGCGCACUGAAUAUAAAUUUGAGCAUCAUUAAAAUGUGUUCGCUAUGAUGCCAUUUUGUCUCCGGUAUAUACGGAGUUCUGCUUUUAUACUUGUGGAUAUUCGAAUUUAUUUGGCUCAAAAACACCAUUACUUCAAUAUCCCUUUCUUGUUUUUCCUUGGAUAGGUUUUAACAAGAUAGAACUCUAGAUCCCUUGGGUCCAAAGACGCUAGAUUAUAAACUGAUCCUGAUGUGACUUGAUACUACAAAUAGAAUAUGUCUUAUGAUUUUAUAAUACUACAAAUAAAAUGUCUUUUAAGUACAAACUUCAAUGAAUUGAUAAAGUGUAAGGAUAGUGUUUAAAGUUGCUUCAUGUGUAGAAGCUGAAUUACUUUAGUUUAUACACUGUAUAUUGUCGAGAUCACAUGUUGAUAUGACUUAAUACCAGCAACUUGCAAUAAGUGGUCUGUUCUGCUUGUUUAUAAUACUUUAGAGUUUGGACAUUAGAACAUUGUAAUUGCCUGACAGAGACUGUUAGGGCCUGUUUGUAUGGAAGCCGGGCUGGCCCGCUUAGCAAGACAGCCCGGUAAUUUUGUUGUUUUGACAGUUGUUAAAAAUUUCAUCCCGGCAACCGGGCUAGCCUGCUUAUGAUUGUUUAUGUGGAGAAAUUUCCAUCCUGGUCUUGGCAACCGGGCCUGCCCGCUUGUCCAUAGAAAUGAUAAUUUGUACUAUAAAAAUAACUAGACAGCGAGAUCUCACUUACCGGGCUGUCUCACUUAGCGGGCCAGCCAGUUUCGAUAUAAACAGGCCCUUACACAACUGCCAAAAGCUGCAAGUUUCUUUAAAGCAAUAUCAUCUAUAUCACAGAAUACAGUUUCUGUAGUGACAUACUUCGUGUUUUUUCUGUCUUUAAAGUGUCUUAUGUUUGUAAUAUUUUUGUACAAUACCUUUUUGAAAUUGUUGAUACUGGUCUCAUUGUAACUCAGUUAUUCCUUCUCAAGAAAAAUAAAAAACAAAGCUGUG
rnacentral:lncRNA from 1 species